ACGGGAGGCAGCAGUGGGGAAUAUUGGGCAAUGGGGGAAACCCUGACCCAGCAACGCCGCGUGAAGGAAGAAGGCUUUCGGGUUGUAAACUUCUUUUACCAGGGACGAAGGACGUGACGGUACCUGGAGAAAAAGCCACGGCUAACUACGUGCCAGCAGCCGCGGUAAUACGUAGGGAGCGAGCGUUGUCCGGAUUUACUGGGUGUAAAGGGUGCGUAGGCGGGCUUGCAAGUCAGGCGUGAAAUACCGGGGCUUAACUCCGGGGCUGCGCUUGAAACUGUAAGUCUUGAGUGAAGUAGAGGCAGGCGGAAUUCCCAGUGUAGCGGUGAAAUGCGUAGAUAUUGGGAGGAACACCAGUGGCGAAGGCGGCCUGCUGGGCUUUAACUGACGCUGAGGCACGAAAGUAUGGGGAGCAAACAGGAUUAGAUACCCUGGUA
rnacentral:rRNA from 1 species